rnacentral:rRNA from 1 species
GGUCAAGUGAAGAAGCGCAUACGGUGGAUGCCUUGGCAGUCAGAGGCGAUGAAAGACGUGGUAGCCUGCGAAAAGCUUCGGGGAGUCGGCAAACAGACUGUGAUCCGGAGAUGUCUGAAUGGGGGAACCCAGCCAUCAUAAGAUGGUUAUAUCUUGUACUGAAUACAUAGGUGCAAGAGGCGAACCAGGGGAACUGAAACAUCUAAGUACCCUGAGGAAAAGAAAUCAACCGAGAUUCCCUUAGUAGUGGCGAGCGAACGGGGACUAGCCCUUAAGUGGCUUUGAGAUUAGCGGAACGCUCUGGAAAGGGCGGCCAUAGUGGGUGAUAGCCCUGUACGCGAAAAUCUCUUAGUCAUGAAAUCGAGUAGGACGGAGCACGAGAAACUUUGUCUGAAUAUGGGGGGACCAUCCUCCAAGGCUAAAUACUACUGACUGACCGAUAGUGAACUAGUACCGUGAGGGAAAGGCGAAAAGAACCCCGGAGAGGGGAGUGAAAUAGAUCCUGAAACCGUAUGCGUACAAGCAGUGGGAGCCCACUUUGUUGGGUGACUGCGUACCUUUUGUAUAAUGGGUCAGCGACUUAUUUUCAGUGGCGAGCUUAACCGAAUAGGGGAGGCGUAGCGAAAGCGAGUCUUAAUAGGGCGUCUAGUCGCUGGGAAUAGACCCGAAACCGGGCGAUCUAUCCAUGGGCAGGUUGAAGGUUGGGUAACACUAACUGGAGGACCGAACCGACUACCGUUGAAAAGUUAGCGGAUGACCUGUGGAUCGGAGUGAAAGGCUAAUCAAGCUCGGAGAUAGCUGGUUCUCCUCGAAAGCUAUUUAGGUAGCGCCUCAUGUAUCACUGUAGGGGGUAGAGCACUGUUUCGGCUAGGGGGUCAUCCCGACUUACCAAACCGAUGCAAACUCCGAAUACCUACAAGUGCCGAGCAUGGGAGACACACGGCGGGUGCUAACGUCCGUCGUGAAAAGGGAAACAACCCAGACCGUCAGCUAAGGUCCCAAAGUUAUGGUUAAGUGGGAAACGAUGUGGGAAGGCUUAGACAGCUAGGAGGUUGGCUUAGAAGCAGCCACCCUUUAAAGAAAGCGUAAUAGCUCACUAGUCGAGUCGGCCUGCGCGGAAGAUGUAACGGGGCUCAAACCAUACACCGAAGCUACGGGUAUCACUUAGGUGAUGCGGUAGAGGAGCGUUCUGUAAGCCUGUGAAGGUGAGUUGAGAAGCUUGCUGGAGGUAUCAGAAGUGCGAAUGCUGACAUGAGUAACGACAAUGGGUGUGAAAAACACCCACGCCGAAAGACCAAGGUUUCCUGCGCAACGUUAAUCGACGCAGGGUUAGUCGGUCCCUAAGGCGAGGCUGAAAAGCGUAGUCGAUGGAAAACAGGUUAAUAUUCCUGUACUUCUGGUUAUUGCGAUGGAGGGACGGAGAAGGCUAGGCCAGCUUGGCGUUGGUUGUCCAAGUUUAAGGUGGUAGGCUGGAAUCUUAGGUAAAUCCGGGAUUCUAAGGCCGAGAGCUGAUGACGAGUUACCCUUUGGGUGACGAAGUGGUUGAUGCCAUGCUUCCAAGAAAAGCUUCUAAGCUUCAGGUAACCAGGAACCGUACCCCAAACCGACACAGGUGGUUGGGUAGAGAAUACCAAGGCGCUUGAGAGAACUCGGGUGAAGGAACUAGGCAAAAUGGCACCGUAACUUCGGGAGAAGGUGCGCCGGUGAGGGUGAAGCACUUGCUGCGUAAGCCCACGCCGGUCGAAGAUACCAGGCCGCUGCGACUGUUUAUUAAAAACACAGCACUCUGCAAACACGAAAGUGGACGUAUAGGGUGUGACGCCUGCCCGGUGCCGGAAGGUUAAUUGAUGGGGUUAGCUAACGCGAAGCUCUUGAUCGAAGCCCCGGUAAACGGCGGCCGUAACUAUAACGGUCCUAAGGUAGCGAAAUUCCUUGUCGGGUAAGUUCCGACCUGCACGAAUGGCGUAACGAUGGCGGCGCUGUCUCCACCCGAGACUCAGUGAAAUUGAAAUCGCUGUGAAGAUGCAGUGUAUCCGCGGCUAGACGGAAAGACCCCGUGAACCUUUACUAUAGCUUUGCACUGGACUUUGAAUUUGCUUGUGUAGGAUAGGUGGGAGGCUUUGAAGCGUGGACGCCAGUUCGCGUGGAGCCAACCUUGAAAUACCACCCUGGCAACUUUGAGGUUCUAACUCAGGUCCGUUAUCCGGAUCGAGGACAGUGUAUGGUGGGUAGUUUGACUGGGGCGGUCUCCUCCUAAAGAGUAACGGAGGAGUACGAAGGUGCGCUCAGACCGGUCGGAAAUCGGUCGUAGAGUAUAAAGGCAAAAGCGCGCUUGACUGCGAGACAGACACGUCGAGCAGGUACGAAAGUAGGUCUUAGUGAUCCGGUGGUUCUGUAUGGAAGGGCCAUCGCUCAACGGAUAAAAGGUACUCCGGGGAUAACAGGCUGAUACCGCCCAAGAGUUCAUAUCGACGGCGGUGUUUGGCACCUCGAUGUCGGCUCAUCACAUCCUGGGGCUGAAGCCGGUCCCAAGGGUAUGGCUGUUCGCCAUUUAAAGUGGUACGCGAGCUGGGUUUAGAACGUCGUGAGACAGUUCGGUCCCUAUCUGCCGUGGACGUUUGAGAUUUGAGAGGGGCUGCUCCUAGUACGAGAGGACCGGAGUGGACGAACCUCUGGUGUUCCGGUUGUCACGCCAGUGGCAUUGCCGGGUAGCUAUGUUCGGAAAAGAUAACCGCUGAAAGCAUCUAAGCGGGAAACUUGCCUCAAGAUGAGAUCUCACUGGGACCUUGAGUCCCCUGAAGGGCCGUCGAAGACUACGACGUUGAUAGGUGGGGUGUGUAAGCGCUGUGAGGCGUUGAGCUAACCCAUACUAAUUGCCCGUGAGGCUUGACCAU